GAAUUUGCAAGGUGGCCUCUUGAAGUCACCAGUGAAGACUGAGACCAGGAGACCAGAAAGAACCACAUCUGCCAGCAACCACCUGCAUCAGUGAAAACAUGGAUCCUUUCUCAGGUACAAGAUAAGAAUAUCAACUUUUCAGAAGAUGGCAUGGUGAGCAGUGGGAACUCAGCCUCUUUGACACUGGGAGACCAGACUCUGGAGAAGAGCAACCGGAGGAAGAGAAGAAAGAGGGAGGUGGAUCCCUGAGACUUAGAAAAUGUCUAAGGGGAGAAGUGGAGCCCAUGAGGAGAGAAAGGUGACGGCCUUAACAUAGAAGAGGGAGGUGGCAAAUUGUACUUUCUCUGUGACUCUCAGGUUAUUGCAGGAGAGAGGAGGCGCCAGUCUACAGAGGUUCAGUGACAGCAAGGAACCCUGGAGGCCUCCCCUGAGAAAUGCCUAGUAGUGGAGCACCGGAUUCAGUGGGCUGCAGUAGCUGGCAUAUGUUGCUCAAUGACAAUGACAGUUACUGAGAAUUGUAUUAGGCUAUUUUAUCAUCACAUGACCAUCAUAGUGAGUAUUGACAGGAGCUAACGUCUUCAACAAUGUGACUAAGCAAUACAAUCUUGUGGGUGCACAGUCACAUAUGCGGUUCAUUGUUGACAUACAGCUUUUGAC
rnacentral:lncRNA from 1 species